GCGCGGGUGGCGGAAUUGGUAUACGCGUACGCCUAAGGAGCGUAUGGAGAAAUCCAUGCAGGUUCAAGUCCUGUCCCGCGCA
rfam:Microgenomates (Woesebacteria) bacterium GW2011_GWC1_38_13 TS75_C0031, whole genome shotgun sequence.